GUAGCGUGAACUGCUAGUCCGAAGAACAUUUGGAGAGGGCAGACGAGCCUCCACAAGGAAGAACAACCGCUUUGAGCACCUGUACAAAAUGGGCUUUGACAAUGUGACAGAGUACAAGCAGAAGAAGCAGCAGAGACUAGAGGAGCAACAGCUGAAGAGGACGAAGGCACAGAAGGCAAAUGGCAAUAAGAAGACCAAGAAAGAGGCAUCGGAAGCUCUGACCAAGCCAUCUGUCUGAAUGAACACCUUGAAGAUAGCGCUAGUAUUUCCUUUAUAUUUGAUGUUUUGAGUGAUAUAUCUGAGUUGAAUGUGCGCUGGUGAAGCGUGUGCAGUGUGUGCCUCACCUUAUGUUCCCUGUAGAUGAAUUUUUGGUUUGGCUAAAAUUUGUCAGAUUUUUUUUUUUUCUUUUUGCAGCUAAUAUUAAACUGUGGCUUCUGUAUCUGCCAACAUUA